rnacentral:rRNA from 1 species
UACGUAGGGUGCGAGCGUUAAUCGGAAUUACUGGGCGUAAAGCGCACGCAGGCGGACUAUUAAGUCAGGGGUGAAAUCCCGGGGCUCAACCCCGGAACUGCCUUUGAUACUGGUAGUCUCGAGUCCGGAAGAGGUGAGUGGAAUUCCGAGUGGUAGAGGUGAAAUUCGUAGAUAUUCGGAGGAACACCAGUGGCGAAGGCGGCUCACUGGUCCGGUACUGACGCUGAGGUGCGAAAGCGUGGGGAGCAAACAGG